GGAGUCGUGGGUGAGUGGCUGAAACCAGUAGUUUGCUAAACUGCCGUACUGGGUAACCGGUACCGAGGGUUCGAAUCCCUCCGACUCCGCCA
rnacentral:tRNA from 1 species